UUUCCUGUGGCUCAGUCGGUAGAGUGCAGCCUGAACAAUGCAUACGUCAUGGGUCCAAAUCCCAGCUAAAAAA